rnacentral:rRNA from 1 species
UACGUAGGGACCAAGCGUUGUUCGGAUUUACUGGGCGUAAAGGGCGCGUAGGCGGCAUGACAAGUCACUUGUGAAAUCUCCGGGCUUAACUCGGAACGGUCAAGUGAUACUGUCGGACUAGAGUACAGAAGGGGCAACUGGAAUUCUUGGUGUAGCGGUGAAAUGCGUAGAUAUCAAGAGGAACACCUGCGGCGAAGGCGGGUUGCUGGGCCGACACUGACGCUGAGGCGCGAAAGCCAGGGGAGCGAACGGG